rnacentral:rRNA from 1 species
UACAGAGGGGGUAAGCGUUGUUCGGAAUUACUGGGCGUAAAGGGCGCGUAGGCGGCCUGUUAAGUCGGACGUGAAAUCCCCGGGCUCAACCCGGGAACUGCGUCCGAUACUGGCAGGCUUGAAUUCGGGAGAGGGAUGCGGAAUUCCAGGUGUAGCGGUGAAAUGCGUAGAUAUGUGGAGGAAUACCGAUGGCGAAGGCAGCCUCCUGGGCCAACACUGACGCUGAGGAGCGAAAGCAUGGGGAGCGAACAGG